AUUGAACGCUGGCGGCAUGCUUUACACAUGCAAGUCGAACGGCAGCGCGGGCUUCGGCCUGGCGGCGAGUGGCGAACGGGUGAGUAAUGCAUCGGAACGUGCCCCUUAUUUGGGGCUAGCCCGGCGAAAGCCGGAUUAAUACCGCAUACGACCUGAGGGUGAAAGCGGGGGACCCAAAGGCCUCGCGCUAUUGGAGCGGCCGAUGUCGGAUUAGCUAGUUGGUGGGGUAAAGGCUUACCAAGGCGACGAUCCGUAGCUGGUCUGAGAGGACGACCAGCCACACUGGGACUGAGACACGGCCCAGACUCCUACGGGAGGCAGCAGUGGGGAAUUUUGGACAAUGGGGGCAAGCCUGAUCCAGCAAUGCCGCGUGCGGGAAGAAGGCCUUCGGGUUGUAAACCGCUUUUGUUCGGGAAGAAAUCCUCUGGGCUAAUACCCCGGGGGGAUGACGGUACCGGAAGAAUAAGCACCGGCUAACUACGUG
rnacentral:rRNA from 1 species